rnacentral:rRNA from 1 species
AACGCGAAGAACCUUACCAAGGUUUGACAUCCUUGUCGCCGUCCUAAGAAAUUAGGACUUCAUUUAGUUGGACAAGUGACAGGUGAUGCAUGGCCGUCGUCAGCUCGUGUCGUGAGAUGUCAGGUUAAGUCCUCCAACGAGCGCAACCCUCGUGAAUAGUUGUAUAUGUCUAUUCAGACUGCCUCGGUAACGGGGAGGAAGGAGGGGAUGACGCCAGGUCAGCAUGUCCCUUACACCUUGGGCUACACACACGCUACAAUGGCCGGUACAAUGGGCUGCUAAGUCGCGAGACGGAGCUAACCCCAUCAAAACCGGUCUCAGUUCGGAUUGUAGGCUGAAACUCGCCUGCAUGAAGUUGGAAUCGCUAGUAACCGUGGGUCAGCAUACUACGGUGAAUACGUUCCCGGGCCUUGUACACACGGUACUA